AUGGCUGGAUGUGGCACUUGGUGCUCUGGGUGACAAGGGGGUGAUGGGUCCAAGGCUGCACUUGAUGGUCUCACAGGUCUUUUCCAGCCUUAAAGAUCCUGUGAUUCUGCAAAAUCCUGGUUUAAUUGUUGGCUCUAAAAUCUGGUUUCUGUUCCCCUCUUGCCUUGCCUUGCUGAGCAGCUGGAUGGAGCAGCUGCUGAGUUUUUAACAAAACAGUACAUUGGGAUGCUCUGCAGUGCUCCAAUUUAGUAAUCUUGAGUAUUUUGCUAUCCAGUGAGGGAAGGGGAGAAUUCCUGUGAAGAAAAGAGAUCGCAGAGAAAGUGUCAUAGCCAGAGCAGGGUGAGGAGAGAGUUCCAUUAACUUGUGUGAGCCGGAGGCUGUGGCAGCGCGGAUAUCCCAGAGAGGAGAGCCAGGACCUGGAGGGACCUCAAACCUGAUUUAACAAACUGCUCAUUCUAGUUGCGAAUUUAAAUUCUCAAGGACUAGGAAGAAAAGCUCAGGAAAUGGGGAAACAAACCUUCCCUUUGUCAGCUGCCAGUUUAACCCGGCAGCCGGGGCCGGUGCCCCGGGGGGAGCGGGAGCUCGGCUGAUGCUCUGCCAGGGUGGAACCGGGAUCCCGGGGCUCCGGGGAGCGCACGGAGCUGCCGUGACCUGCAUUUGAACCGUGAUGCUUCAUUCCCGGGAAAUCUGCGCCCUCCCUCCGGAGCUGGUGGCAGUUCAGCCGAAGUUGAAGGACACCAAAGCCUUCAGUCCUGUUUCCAGGCCAUUGGCCGGUGAAAAAUCCUCCCUUUCCCGGUGAUCCGGGCUCUCGCAGGCGCUGCUCCCGAAUUGCUCAGCAGCACAACCAGCAGGGAGCCUGGGAGGUCACUGCAGUCACCACCACCUGUUGGCUCUGCCAGGCUGCCACAAGCCCUUGCUAAAGCUCCUGUGACCCUUCUUCCUAAUCCAUUGUACAGCCUGCCUUGGCUCCUCCUGGUCCUCCCAGAGGUGGAGUCACCUCCACUGUGGAUGCUCUGUGCCUGGCAGAGCCUUGGCAGCUGGGUGCUGACUCUGUCCUUCCCCCCAUGCCUGGUUCUGGAAUGCCCUGUGGAGUGUCAGCUCCACGUAAGGCAUGUGGAGCCAAGGGCCUCUUUCCCCAAACGGCCUCUUUCCCGUGCAUGGCUUUGUUUCUUGUUUCCAUCUGGAGCCUGAAGAGCAAAAUCCCCAUCGUGGGCGAGCCAGAGCUGGGAUCUGCUUCCACCUGAGGUGUGCUGAGCUUCUCCAUGGUGACAAACCCGUCAAUUUCCCUGAAUUUUCCAUGUAUCAAAUAAAGCCUUGACUUGGAGAGGCA
rnacentral:lncRNA from 1 species